AGUAUAAGCAGUAGAUAAUAGUGUAACACGUGACCAGUGUGUUAACACGUCAACCAACACCAUAAAGCAUAAAAAAGUAGUCUGCAAGUUGGUUGUAUCUAUCUACAUAGUUUGAUGUAAGAAUAGAAUGUUCACUUUUGUGUUAUUUAGCGUAGGAGGGUCUCACUCCUUAUUUAGCUAAAGAAUAAGCUUUCAAAACGAGCAAUGAGCAUUGCAGGGGGGCAAUGCGACAUCGAGGAAAGGCCGGUGCACCUCAAUUGCUUGAGGAAUUGACCGGACGAUCUCCAGGAAGUUGGAGUCGUGUUCGGGUGAUGUCAAUGUCCCCCAGGUCACCACCAUGCUUCAUGGUGAUGCUAGAUCUCGAAUGUCUUCGUUUUGAGCGGAAGAAUGGAUGUCCAUGAGAAUUUCUCAAAAUUUGGACCAUUAUAUCUCUUCUAGGUUGACCAAUUUGGUCAAACCAAAGCCUAUAUGAGUCGGUGUCCCAAAUAUCAUGUUUGGCGACAACAUGAGAUUCGAUAUUCGAAUCGUAGUGACAUACAGUUCACUAGAUUGACUCAUGAAUUUCUCCAAGAUGCGCUUCAGUUCGCAUUCAUGAGGAGGUAUACACAAAAGAAUUCUUGUUCAUUCUCAUAAUGUGUUUUCAAAUGAAAACCAUUAGCAUGAAUGUCUUUAAAGCUCAACAUGGUUCCUUAGAAUGUUGUGGAUAGUUCCACUAUCUGCGAAGCACUCAAUGUCUCUAUGAGACAUAACUACAAGGAGUAGAUAGGCGAGUAAAUAGUUCUACUUGAACCAUUUAGAAUGAUUGAAAGAAGCUACGAAAAGCUGCAAUCCCGAGAGUGCAUAAAAAUUUCCGCGCAGAAUGACCUUUGCGCACUAAAACAACCAUAACUUCUUCGUUAAAAUAGAUAUGGACAAACCGUGAAAAGUUCUGAAAACUAGACUCAUAGAGAUUUCCAAUGAUAUAAAGCUCACUGUCUGGUUCGUCCGGAGCUGUUCACAAAGCUCAAACGAAGUUAACUGUCCAGAAGAGACAGAUUGCUGUUUUUCGCAGAUUUGGCAUGUGCGAAGCUGUGAAGCUUGCAGGUGGCGUGUAGGCUUUUGCCUUAGCCAAAAGUGACGUGUGUAUGAUCAAAACCAAGUCCUUUCGAUCGUUCUAAGGUCGUAAACUCCAUGACUAGUUAGCAAAAGCUCCCUGACAUGAACAUAAACUAACUCAGAGGACCUAGAGG
rnacentral:lncRNA from 1 species